UACGUAGGGCGCAAGCGUUGUCCGGAAUUAUUGGGCGUAAAGAGCUCGUAGGCGGUUUGUCGCGUCUGCUGUGAAAACCUAAGGCUCAACCUUGGGCUUGCAGUGGGUACGGGCAGACUAGAGUGCGGUAGGGGUGACUGGAAUUCCUGGUGUAGCGGUGGAAUGCGCAGAUAUCAGGAGGAACACCGAUGGCGAAGGCAGAUCUCUGGGCCGUAACUGACGCUGAGGAGCGGAAAGCAUGGGGGAGCGAACAGG
rnacentral:rRNA from 1 species